UCUAUCUGCAUUUGAGGAUCAAAAUGGGAAGCAAUACAUACUAUUUGUUUUGUUUCAAGUGAAAUUUGUUCAUAUGUACAUUCAGUCUUCAAUCUAUGUUCCAGUUACUAAGGUCAAAACUUAGUGGGCUAAAAUAACAUUUAUUUUGCUUAUGAAUCUGCAUUUUGGGCAGAGUUCAAAAUAUUUAUGGUCCACUAUGGAUCAGUUAGGGUGGCUCAAAGAUGAGGGGCUAGAAUCCACUGAAGUCUUAUUGACUCACAUGUCUUGUUUCUGGCUACUGUUGGGAGUCUUGUAUCUUCUUCAUUUGAUCUCUCCAUGUGGGCAAGCUUAGGCUUCCUCAUAGCAUGAUGGCUGCUUCCAAGGGUGAGUGUUCUAAGAGCAAGAGAAGGCUGGGUGGAAACCAUAUCACCUUUUGUGAUCCAGCCUUGAAAGUCAUGGGACAUCACUUCUUCUGCCUUCUCUUUGUUGAAGCAGUCACCAAGUCUUGCUGACAUUCAAGGGAAGGAGAGGGAAGUAAACUCUGACUCUUGUUGGGAAAUGGAAGAGUUCUGGAAGAUCAUGUUGGACCAAAAAUAUCAUUGUGGCCAUUUUUAGAAAAUGUAGUUUGCCAGAGGCUGAAAAUAUAGCUGCUAGAGGCUGGUUCUCUUGGGAUUCAACUCUGUCUUUCACUGAUAGUUCUAAACUAGAUGAGACAGUUGGUUUAACAGCUUUAUGGCAAAUGAUGGAACAGGGCCACUUUUCUCUCUUCUUGGAGUUCCAAUAGGUAUUUCAGCUUUUAAAUGAAUACAGUUUUCUAAGCUUUGAGCUAUUCUCAAAUUGAGAGCAGAUUUUGGUUAAGUCAGGUUUCUAAAAAAUCCUGUAUUUGCAUUGGACACAAGUGAAAAGCCUUCAAAUGAAAAGGGGAAAUAAUUAUUCCCAAAUAUUAAUAUUAUGGGUAAAUGAAAACCAGACAUUCUAGUAAGUUUUACUACAGAUAUACAAAAUGAUUUAAAAGCCUUAAGUUGAAAAAAAUACAAAUUUAAGAAAACAUUGAAAUUGGAAUUAAACACUCUUGUUUAUUUCACUCCACUCAAUUUUAUCCUCCUUCUGCCUAUAUUUUAGACUGGCUGGCAAAAUUUCUUAAUUCUUGGUGAGGUCACAGGAUACUUGCAUGUUAGAACUGUUUUCCUUAGCCAGGUUACCUGAAUAUGAGUCUUAAGAUAUGAGUCAGAAUCUUAAGUAGAGGUCUUAAACCUUGGUGGAUUAACAUUUAUAUGAAAAUCCCUCCCACAAUCCCUGGUAGACAGUAAGUGCUCAAAUAUAUAUAGCAGCAUCCUUAUUCUCUAAGGACUUAAUGGGUCUUGACCAAUGUGAGUCCUCUUCAUACCACUAUACCCUUUUCCCAGUUUAUUAAUUUUUCCAAGUGGCACAACAAGAAACCAGAUUUGGUGAUAGCCUGUUUGAUUUUUACAAGUAGAUCCAUUUUUUUCCUCAAGCUUUAGAUAGUGAAGACUGUCUUAUAGUUGAGGGUCUCCAGUUGUAAUAGAGACCAUGGGGCCCACAAAGCCUAAAACAUAGCUUCUUACAAAGAAAGUUUGCCAACCACUGUUGUAGCUUUUCAGACAGAAUUCUGUUCAGGAAAAAAUAAAACCUAUUUUAUAAAAUGUCAUCAGUAUCACAAGGGAUAUCCUCCAAGAACUUGGAAAAAUAUAAGUCUUUUGAGAGUUGAACAAAAUAUAUGAUAUUCAUGUAGAAAAAAUCAACCAAGGAAGUACAAGCAGAGUUGUAGAUUUGAUCUAAUAACUAUUUUGAAAUAUGAGAGGUAUCAAGUAAUAUGUAAAUAUAAAGGAAUAGUUCUGUGAACAACAAAAAUAUAUAGUGUUAUUUACAUGUGAAAGCAUAUAAGAACACUUAUAAACAAUAUAAGAUACUUUAUUUAACAUAAGUGUUUGUAGGUACAUUGUUACCAACUGAAAAAUUAAAUAAAGAUAAUUAAUUUAUAAAAAAUAAUAAAUCAAAUAAAUAUGGGAAAAGGAAGUAGGCACAAUCCUGUUAAAAAGACAGAUGGCUGCCAUUUAUUCAGGUGUGGACUAACCUCAAUCACUGCCUAACAUAUCUGAGGAAAAAAUUCCCUUACCCAGAAGAGGCAAGGGCCUUAUAAAUGGAGCAUGGGCUAGGGUGUGUCACAGAAGCGAAUGUUGGUAGUAUGUGUCAUAUGGUUAGGAAUGCAUUUGGUGCAAGAGACAAACACCUGACCAUAGGUUUAAACAACCUAGGGUUUAUUUUGUUCAUUUAAUAAGAAACUGGAGGCGAGUAGUUGUAGGCAUAAUCUCAUCUGCUCAACAAUGGCAAAGUUGAUGUCUGUAAAUCCAUUGGCCCCUCAUUUGCAUUUCUACUGCAGCUCUAACCAUCACAGCUGCAUUCAAGACAGGAAGAAGGGCUGAAGAGGGAAGGGCAGGUGUCUUUCUCCUUUUAUUAAUGAGUAUAGCUUUCCCAGAAAUCUCCCUAGUAGAACUUACUUUAGGUCUCGUUGAACAGAACUGAUCACAUGGUCACUUAGUUGCAAGGAAUGCUAGAAAAGCCAGGCAUAGGAAUGAUUUGCCACCAAUGGUUUAAACCAGUAUUCCUUAAACUUGCCUGAAGAUGAUUACAGUUAUCUGGGGGCUUGUUAAAUAUGUAGAUUAUGAGGGCCUAUCUAUAGAAAUUGUGAUUGCCAGGUCUGGGAUAGGAGCCAAGGAUAUGCCUUUUACUUUUAUUUCUCUCUCCUUUUAAAUGGCCCCCAGGUGAUUUUAUUCUCAACAAAGUUUAGGAAUAUUGUAUUAGACUAGUCAUGACCUGCCUGAGUUUGGGCUUGUUGCCACCUAGAACAAAACUCUGUUUUCUUAGUGGAAGGAAUGGAUAUUGAAUAGACAACUAACAGUAUCUGCCACACCACCUAAACACAGUCCAGACCAAUAACAAUGUCUAUCCUCUUGUCAGGAGAAUGACAAAGAGUCCAUCAGAACCUGACCCCAUUGAACAUUCAAAUUUGUAACCCUCUCCUCUCUCUCUGAUUCUGUUCUCGCUGAGCAAACGUCAAUGAAUAUAGCAUCAGCAGAGUUUGGCAUGAAGGAGAGAAAGUAGAGCCAGCUCCAUGGUCACUGGAGAGUUGGUUAUUUUUUAAUUGUAAUGUAAUUCAUAUAACAUAAAUUUCACCAUUAUAAGUAUACAAUUCAGUCGCUUUUAGUAUAUGCAUAGUGUUGUGCAGUCUUUGCCACUACCUAGCUUUAGAACAUUUUCAUUGCACCCAAAAGAAACCCCCUACCCAUCAGUAGUCAUUCCUCAUUUCCCCUACUCCUGCCACCUGGCAACCACUAAUCUACUUUCUGUUUCUAUGGAUUUGCCUGUUGUGCAUAUUUCAUAUAAUGGAAUCAAACACUAUUGGAAAGUUUUUCUUCUCAUAGUUGAUGAAUAAUGGACACUGUUUCUAUGAGCUUCAAUCUUGGAGUUUGGCCAUCGUGAGACUCCUUGAGUCUUGUGAGUUCUCAGCAGGGGCUUGCUCAAGUCUCAGGACUUUGGAAGAUGGGUUGUGCUGAAGCCCAGGAGAGCACACCAAGGUUACUGUGCUCUAUCAUGGUCCCUGCAGCCUGCAAUUUGGCCUGUCUGGCCCUCACAGUGCCCUCCUCUCUUCCACUCAAGGUGGUAAUGUUGGUAGUAAUCAUGACUAUUUCAUGAAUCCUUGCUUUGUGCCAGGCACUGUGAUGGGCAUCAUUGUGUUUCAUUUUCACAGUGUCCCUGUGAGGUAGAUAAUAUUAUCUGUAUCUUAAUAAAAAGGGAGAAUGUACUCACUGUCUGUCAGAGGAGCCAGGAUUUGAGGUUAGAUUUGUGUGACUUCAUUCAUGGAUUCAAUGAGCAUUUCUUGACUAUGUUCUGUGUUUCAGACUCUGUGCUGGUCUCUGAGGAUAAAGCAGUGAAUAAGUGAUUGAGGUGACAGGCCUCAAUCAUCUUGAAACAGGAUAGACAAACAUGAAACAAAUAAUCAUAUAUUUAUUUUGUUUCAGAUAAUCCUACAAAGUGAAAGUUAAGGAGCCUGUGCAAGGGUAUAUUUGGGAAGUCUAAACAAGUCUAAGAGAUGAGGCAAAGAUUUCCAGAACUUGGGUUUAAACUGAAAACUGGUAGAUGAAGAGGAAAAGCCAGGUGGAGGAAAAGCAGGAAAGAGCAUCCCAGGAUUUCAAGCUUUAUCCCAAAGGCAAUGGGAAGGCACUGAUAAGUUUUAAGCAAUACAGUGUCAUGAUCAGAUUUAGUUUUAGAAACUGAUUACUCUGGAAAAUGAUUGGAAGAGAGUGAGGGAAGUGACAGGAAGGCCAGUAAAUGAGCUGCUACAGUUGUUGAGGUAAGAAUGAUGGUAGCUUGGACCAGAAUAGUCAGCGUAGAUUACUGGAAAAAUAUUAAGGAUGUAGAAGUGGAAGGACACAGUUGAUUGGAUAUGAAGUUGAGGCAGUGAGAGAUGUCAAGAAUAGUUCCCAGGUUGUUGACAUGGGCAGUUGUGGCAAUGGAUCCCCAUUUGUACUCGUAGAGCACUCUGGAGAAGGAGCAGGUUUGUGGGGUGUAUUUUUGCUUUCAGUUUCAGACUUCUAAAAAAAUGAACAAAUUUUAAAGAUUCUAUUUAACUCAUGAGAAAACAAGUAGCUGUUGAAACCAGCUCAAAAGAGAAUCCAAAGAGCAGACAUAGGAAUAUUGACUAGGGAUAUUGAAAUGAAUAUAUAAUGGAAGUAAAACUGGUUUUAUUACAGCGUGAGAGGUGGGACAAUUGAACCUCUACUGUAAAAGACAUUCAGCAUGUAUAUCAGUGAUGUACAAUGUACAGAGGGAUGUAAACAAGCUUAUUAUAGGCAAUAUAAUACUAGAAUCAGAGAACCUGGAGUAGUAUCCUGAAGACAGGGCAAUGUUUCCAUUGAAACACAUUUUUUUUUCCUAGAGUGUUGGAGUCAAGUAGACAUUAGCUUUCUAAAAAAGAGGGUCCAGUCAUUAGGGUGACCAGAUUCCUAUCAGAGACAUUUCUAGCUCAGGCUUGGUCAGGGCUCAAUGGAUAUUGAUAACAUCACAAAGACUAGGUUGUCACAAAGGCCACUCCCUGACCAAUGAGGGGCUGGAGCACAGGGAUACAGUGAAUGAAAACAAACAAACAAACAAACAAACAAACAAAACCACUUGGUAUCUUGAGAAGCUCAGGCCAGAAGGAAAAUCAGUGUAGUUCCCAGUUAUCCACAUGGACCUCCUCCUGUGAGACGUCACUAUGCCCAGUGCCUGAGCUUGGCUACUCCCGUUUUCCUCACUGGAAUUCUGGAGUACCUGACGGCCAACAUCCUGGAGCUGGCAGGCAAGGAGGCCGACAACAACCGCAGGGUACGCAUCACCCCCAAACACGUGGAGAGGGCAAUGGACCAGAACCAGCAGCUCAGCCUCCUCUUUGAGGACGACACCCACUCUCAGGUUGAUGAGAUGCCCCAACUCAGGAAGAAGUAGAGAUGCCUGGGUCUCAGAGCCCGGCAGGCCCUCAUCAACAGCCCCAUCCAGCCCCCAAAACUGCCAUAGAAAGGGAGCUCAGGCUGCUACCAUCAGCCCAUGCUAUUAAAGUGUUUAAAUCUAUGACAGUG